ACGUUUGACGGUAAACCUCUGAGUUCGUGCUGCCCCUCUUGAAAAAUCCUAAUCGACUUCUGGAGGAGAGAUUCGUUGAAAGCAAAGGACCAACCAUGUAUCUUCAGUGCUAUAUCAACGAAAAGGGCGACAAGGUUUACACCACUAAGAAGGAAUCACCGCUCGGGUUAGCCACUGAAUCUGCCCAUCCAGUU